AGUGAACGCUGGCGGUAGGCCUAACACAUGCAAGUCGAACGGCAGCACAGUAAGAGCUUGCUCUUACGGGUGGCGAGUGGCGGACGGGUGAGGAAUACAUCGGAAUCUACUUUUUCGUGGGGGAUAACGUAGGGAAACUUACGCUAAUACCGCAUACGACCUACGGGUGAAAGCAGGGGAUCUUCGGACCUUGCGCGAUUGAAUGAGCCGAUGUCGGAUUAGCUAGUUGGCGGGGUAAAGGCCCACUAAGGCGACGAUCCGUAGCUGGUCUGAGAGGAUGAUCAGCCACACUGGAACUGAGACACGGUCCAGACUCCUACGGGAGGCAGCAGUGGGGAAUAUUGGACAAUGGGCGCAAGCCUGAUCCAGCCAUACCGCGUGGGUGAAGAAGGCCUUCGGGUUGUAAAGCCCUUUUGUUGGGAAAGAAAAGCAGCAGGUUAAUACCCCGCUGUUCUGACGGUACCCAAAGAAUAAGCACCGGCUAACUUCGUG
rnacentral:rRNA from 1 species